rnacentral:rRNA from 1 species
UACAGAGGUCCCAAGCGUUGUUCGGAUUUACUGGGCGUAAAAGGUGCGUAGGUGGCGAGGUAAGUUCGAUGUGAAAUCUCCGAGCUCAACUCGGAAAUGGCAUUGAAUACUAUCCCGCUUGAGGGUCGGAGGGAGACUGGAAUUCUCGGUGUAGCAGUGAAAUGCGUAGAUAUCGAGAGGAACACCAGUGGCGAAGGCGAGUCUCUGGACGACUCCUGACACUGAGGCACGAAAGCUGGGGGAGCAAACGGG